UGUCAUGUGGCGCAUUGGUUAACGCGUUGGACUUUGGAUCUGGAGGUUGGUGGUUCGAGUCCAUGGCAA
rnacentral:tRNA from 1 species